AAAGCAGGSGUAACUUGCCUCCGRAUACGUUAGCAUGGGAUAAUGGAAUASGACUUSGGUCUUGUUUCGKUGGUUUYGCUUGGCUGAAGUAAUGAUUGAUAGGGACAGUUGGGGGCAUUAGUAUUUAGUUGUCAGAGGUGAAAUUCUAGGAUUUACUAAAGACUGACCAAUGCGAAAGCAUUUGCCAAGGAUGUUUUCAUUAAUCAAGAACGAAAGUAGGGGGAUUGAAGRCGAUCMGAUWCCGUYGUAGUYUYUACCGUAAAMUAUGCCGACCAGGGAUCCGGAGAGUUUGCAUGGAUGACUCCCCGGGCACCUUGUGRGAAAUCMUAAGUGUUUGGGUUYUGGGGGGAGUAUGGUCGCAAGGCUGAAACUAAAGAAUGACGAAGGCACGACGGAGGC
rnacentral:rRNA from 1 species